rnacentral:rRNA from 1 species
GACGAACGCUGGCGGCGUGCUUAACACAUGCAAGUCGAACGGAAAGGCCCUGAUUGCAAGGUACUCGAAUGACGAACGGGUGAAUAACACAAGGGUGAUCCGCCCUGCGCUUCAGGAUAAGCCUGGGAAACUGGGUCUAAUACCAGAUAGGAUCCAUUUUUAAUGUGAUGGUUGAAAAGUUUUUUCCGUGUAGGAUGAGCUCUCGGCCUAUCAUCUUGUCGGUGGGGUAAUGGCCUACCAAGGCAGAAACGGGCACCCAGGCUAAGAGGGUGGACCGGCCCGUUGGGACUGACAUACACACCAGACUCCAAACGGAGGCAACACUGGGAAAUAAUGCACAAUGGGCGAAAGCCUGAUGCAGCGACACCCCCUGAGGGAUGACCGCCUUCUGGAUGAAAACUCCUUUCGCUACGGACAAAUCUUUUUGUGACGGUAACUAUGACAGAACCACCGGCUAACUACCUGCCAACAUCCGCGGUAAUACCUAGGGUGCGAGCGUUGACCGGAAUUACUGGGCGAAUAGGGCUCGUAAGUGGUAUGUCGCGUCGUCUGUGAAAUUCCUGUGCUUAACUCCGGGUCAGCACGCCAUACGGGCAUAACUUGAUUACUGUAAGGAGUAACUGGAUUUCCUGGUGUAGCGGUGAAAUGCGCAGAUAUCAGGAGGAACACCGAUGGCGAAGGCAGGUUACUGGGCAGUAACUGACGCUGAGGAGCGAAAGCAUGGGUAGCGAACAGGAUUAGAUACCCUGGUAGUCCAUGCCGUAAACGGUGGACGCUAGGUGUGAGGGUGUUUUCCCGACUUUCGUGCGGUAGCUCACGCAUCAAGCGCCCCGCGUGGGGAGUACGCCCGCAAGGCUAUAACUCAAAGGAAUGGGCGGGGGCCCGCACAAGCGGCGGAGCAUGUGGAUUAAUUGGAUGCAACGGGACGAUCCUUGCGUGGGCCUGACAUACAAUGGAUCGGGCUAGAGAUAGUUUUUCCCUUGGUGGAUGGUGUACAGGUGGUGCAUGGUUGUCGUCAGCUCGUGUCGUGAGAUGUUGGGUUAAGUCCCGCAACGAGCGCAACCCUUGUCUUAUGUUGCCAGCAUUUGGUUGGGGAGUCAUGAGAGACUGCCGGGGUCAACUCUGAGGAAGGUGGGGAGGAGGUCAAAUCUUCACGCCCCUUAUGUCCAGGGGUUCACACAUGUUACAAUGGUCGGUACACCGAGCAGAGACAUUGUGAGGUGGAGCGAAUCGCUGAAAGCCCGCUUUCGUUUGGAUUGGGGUGUGCAACUUGACCCCCAGAAGUUGGAGUCGGUAGUAAUUGCAGAUCAGCAACGUUGCGGUGAAAAAGUUCCCGGGCCU